UUCUAAUAUGGCAGAUUAGUGCAACGGACUUAAACCCCGUAUAUAAAGUUAUUGCUUUUUUUAGAAA
rnacentral:tRNA from 1 species